rnacentral:rRNA from 1 species
CCUACGGGUGGCAGCAGUGAGGAAUAUUGGUCAAUGGGCGCGAGCCUGAACCAGCCAAGUCGCGUGAAGGAUGACGGUCCUGCGGGUUGUAAACUUCUUUUAUCAGGGAAUAAAGUGAGGCACUUGUGCCUUUUUGUGUGUACUUUAUGAAUAAGCAUCGGCUAACUCCGUGCCAGCAGCCGCGGUAAUACGGAGGAUCCGAGCGUUAUCCGGAUUUAUUGGGUUUAAAGGGUGCGGAGAUGGGGUGUUAAGUCAGGUGUGAAAGGUUGCGGCUCAACCGUAAAAUUGCCAUUGAUACUGGCAGGCUGGAGUAGGGUUGAGGUAGGCGGAAUUCGUGGUGUAGCGGUGAAAUGCUUAGAUAUCACGAAGAACUCCGAUUGCGAAGGCAGCGUACUAGACUGACACUGACACUGAUGCACGAAAGUGUGGGUAUCAAACAGGAUUAGAUACCCGGGUAGUC